GAACUCCAAGGUGGGAAGAAUAAGUAAGUGGAGUAGUAAUAUCCUGGCGUUGCCAAGACACUGGCUGGAGGCUGCGUGGCCCUAGACCCCGACUCAAGCUCGGGUUUCUCCUCCCACCGGGAUGUGGCCUGCCUGCCUCCUACCCAGCUCCUCCACCUGUUUCCCGGAGCCGACGUUGAACAGGUUUAAAAGGAAAGAGAGACGUGCUUACCCGAGGACAGGGAUCUGAUUAGGUGCAGGGAGUAUAAUCUCUGAUCACAGGGCAUUUAGCCAUGAGAAUCUAGGAGUCGGAAUCCAAGUCAGAUUUUUAUAGUCAACAUAACAUCAACGUCAAAGAAGCGAGAAGUGAUCUUCAGGACUGACCUUUAGAAGCCCAGCCCAGCAUAAGUGCUCACCUGUCAUUAAUACCAUAUCUGGGCAUGAAUUUGGGAAACAAACACAUAAUAGAUUUAACAUGCAGAGCAACAUCUGUGAAGAAGUUAUUGAUGGAAAGGAAUUUAGCACGUAGGAAUAUGAUACUGCUCUUUUCUGACAUCCAAAGGACAAGACCAUCUAGAGAAGCCAAAAUCCAACUGUUUAUCAAAUAACCCUGGUUUUUUUCCUUCUUCCCACAUUGAAAAAGCAAGAGAAAAGGAUAACUUCUUGAUAGAACAGUGACAAAUGGCCAGUGGGAGUACAGUUCCCCAAAUCACUUUCUGGGGCUUCCUAUCACAUUCCGCUCAGGGGGAGAAGGCACAUCAAGCCCCCAUACCCUCUUGGGACAAGGCCUAUGCCACUCUGGGUGAAGGGAUUAUGCUUCUCUGAAUCAUAUUCAGUCUAGGGAGAAGUAUAGCAUAGCCCUAGAGUGGUCGGUCACAGCAUGAGUGAGGGACAAGGAGGCAGACCACUAGAGCACAAGCUACUCCCCACUAUAAGCAGAUUUGCCCCUAGAAGACAGUUAUUAGUUAGUCAUAGCUCUGAAAACAGUGAAUCCUUGACUAUGUGCUAGAAGACUUUUUCUUUGAAAAAAUGUGUUUUAUUGAUUUUUUUGUUUGUUUUCAUACUAGUCAUUUCUGGAUGUACUAACCUAUUUACGUCAUAGGAUAUGAACUAUCCCUUGUAACUAACUCCUUCCAAAAUAAACAAAAUUAGUUAAGCAAAAACAAUUGACAAAAUGACCAUAAAAGCAAUAUAUUUUACCUUUGUAAACCCUUACCGCACUGCCACAAGGGUAAGAUUGUCAUUGACUGAGACCUUCCCCCCCAUUUUCAGUUACUCAGAAUUCAAUCUCCUUUUACUGGUAUUUUCAUUUCCAUUGUUGCAGUCACUGUGUAUGUUCUUCUGGCUCUCCUCAUUUUAAUCAAUGUUAUUUGAUGUAAAUUUUUUUCUAUAUUUCUCUGAAUUCCUUAUAUUUAUCAU